rnacentral:rRNA from 1 species
CCUGAUGAAGGCAACUAAAACAGCCAAGGGGGCACACCAAAAUGGCCCAAAAGAACGGCGC